GCUGAUAUAGCUCAGUUGGUAGAGCGCAUCCUUGGUAAGGAUGAGGUCAGCGGUUCAAAUCCGCUUAGCGGCUCCA
rnacentral:tRNA from 1 species